GAUGAACGCUGGCGGCGUGCCUAAUACAUGCAAGUCGAGCGAAUGGAUUGAAAGCUUGCUCUUAUGAAGUUAGCGGCGGACGGGUGAGUAACACGUGGGUAACCCGCCCAUAAGACUGGGAUAACUCCGGGAAACCGGGGCUAAUACCGGAUAACAUUUUGAACCGCAUGGUUCGAAAUUGAAAGGCGGCUUCGGCUGUCACUUAUGGAUGGACCCGCGUCGCAUUAGCUAGUUGGUGAGGUAACGGCUCACCAAGGCAACGAUGCGUAGCCGACCUGAGAGGGUGAUCGGCCACACUGGGACUGAGACACGGCCCAGACUCCUACGGGAGGCAGCAGUAGGGAAUCUUCCGCAAUGGACGAAAGUCUGACGGAGCAACGCCGCGUGAGUGAUGAAGGCUUUCGGGUCGUAAAACUCUGUUGUUAGGGAAGAACAAGUGCUAGUUGAAUAAGCUGGCACCUUGACGGUACCUAACCAGAAAGCCACGGCUAACUACGUGCCAGCCGCCGCCGUAA
rnacentral:rRNA from 1 species